CCCCGCGGAAAGCCGCGGCCGCCAGCCGCGCAAGCAACAGCUUGCAGGGCCCAGCGCAGUGUGACACGACUCCCUGACAUUAGCCGUAACAAAGCAUAACUGUAGGCAAGCAUGGUGCUGCACACUUGGCUCCUGAGGAGGCUGAGAAAACUUGACAAAAAGGCGAACUAGUCAAAUUUUUACUGUGGGAUCACAUGAGAAGAUUGGCGCUUGGUCUGAGUGACGGCCCCAAAUGAUAACUGCUGCUUCAGCAGCAACUCCCACCUACUCUGGUGGUCUUGCCGUGAAGAUCAAUGACGAGGAAACUAAGGCACAAGGAAAUCUAGAUGACUUACCCAAGGUCAGAUAAAGGGAUCCAAGUGAUAGCACAGAAACCAUCAAUGUCUGAAGAAAGGAAAAGAGUUGGGAAGUUGAUAGGAGACAAAACAAAAAACAUGGUAGCUGGAUGGGGCUUCUUUCAUUUCAGUGGCUGUCUCUGGAAGCUCUGUUGGAGC